rnacentral:rRNA from 1 species
AAUGAACGCUGGCGGCACGCCUAACACAUGCAAGUCGAACGGGGGAAUGGGGUCUGCUGCCGGAAGCAACCGCGGAGGGGGGAGACAUGCCCUUGAAUCUGGCAUGUAUUGCGGGAUAACGUGCUGAAACCGGCGCUUAUAACCGAUACGUCCUGAUGGAGAAAGUGGGUGGGCCUCGGAUCGCACGCCUUGAUAGUAGGCUAGGUCGGAAUAGCUAGUUGGUGGGGUAAAGGCCUACCCAGGCGACGAUCCGGAACUGGGCUUAGAGGAUGAUCAGUCACACUGGCACUGAGACACGGUCCCGACUCCUACGGGAGGACGCAGUGGGGAAUAUUGGACGAUGGGCGAAAGCCUGAUACAGCCAUGCCGCGUGUGUGCAGAAGGUCUUCGGCUUCUAAAGCAAUUUAAGUUGGGAGGAAGGGCAGUACGUUAAUACCUUGCUGUUUUGACGUUACCAACAGAAUAAGCACCGGCUAACUUCGUG